UAUCUCGAACUGUCAGUAAUUUUAGCGACAAUCUAUGUGAUUACAAUGAUCAUUCUUUAGAGCGAUUUUUGAAAAUUUCUCUUAUUGAAAAAGACAGGUUAUAUUCUGAAAAAAAAUAUGGAGUAAAAAAACUUGAUGAGAGCUAUGCUGCCCUAGAGAAUAAGUUCCAAUCACAAUUUGGAAUAGUACCUGAAUCUACCUACAGAAAGAUUAAUCAAGAUCAUUGUUCCAUGAUAGCUAAAGUGAAGAAAUUAUAUAACGCUGAAAGUGACAAGUAAAU
rnacentral:lncRNA from 1 species